UCAAGCUAAUAAGAGCAUAGGGUGGAUGCCUUGGCACCAAGAGCCGAAGAAGGACGCGGUAAGCUGCGAAAAGCUUUGGGUAGGCGCAAACAGCCGUUGAUCCAGAGAUGUCCGAAUGGGGAAACCCGACUUGGCGAACCCAAGUCACUAUUAGAUGAAUCCAUAGUCUAAUAGAGGGAACGCAGGGAACUGAAACAUCUAAGUACCUGCAGGAGGAGAAAGAAACAUCGAUUUCCUGAGUAGUGGCGAGCGAAAGGGAAAGAGCCCAAACCAGAUUGCGUGCAAUCUGGGGUUGUGGACUGCGAAAGGUAGUUUUAAGGAUAGUCGAAGUGUUUUGGAAAAGCACACCAAAGAAGGUGAAAGUCCUGUAGACAAAAUCCAAGAAACGCCGGCAGUAUCCAGAGUACCACGAGACACGAGAAACCUUGUGGGAAGCAGGGGGGACCACCCCCCAAGGCUAAAUACUCCUUGGUGACCGAUAGCGCAUAGUACUGUGAAGGAAAGGUGAAAAGAACCCCGGGAGGGGAGUGAAAAAGAACCUGAAACCCUAUGUUUACAAGCAGUGGAAGACCGUUAAAGGUCGACCGCGUACUUUUUGUAGAACGGUCCGGCGAGUUACUGAUGCCAGCAAGGUUAAGUGCCAAAGGCACGAAGCCGAAGGGAAACCAAGUCUUAAAAGGGCGAUAAUAGUUGGUAUUAGUAGACCCGAAACCGGGUGAUCUACCCAUGGUCAGGAUGAAGUCACCGUAAAAGGUGAUGGAGGUCCGAACUCACACGUGUUGAAAAACGUGGGGAUGAACUGUGGGUAGGGGAGAAAUUCCAAUCGAACCCGGAGAUAGCUGGUUCUCCUCGAAAUAGCUUUAGGGCUAGCCUUGAUGUGAGCCUAGCGGAGGUAAAGCACUGAAUUGCCUAGGGGGCCAACAAGCUUACCGAAGCAUAUCAAACUAAGAAUGCCGCAUAGGUACCGUCAGGAGUCAGACUAUGAGAGAUAAGUUUCAUGGUCAAAAGGGAAAGAGCCCAGACCAUCAGCUAAGGUCCCAAAGUACGUGUUAAGUGGAAAAGGAUGUGGGAUUUCAGAGACAACUAGGAUGUUGGCUUAGAAGCAGCCAUACAUUCAAAGAGUGCGUAAUAGCUCACUAGUCGAGAGAUCCUGCGCCGAAAAUGUCCGGGGCUAAAACACGACACCGAAGCUAUGGAAUUUAGAGGUUAGAAGGGAGAAGUUAGAAGGGUGAUAAAAUCUUAUAAAGAUUUAGAAGUAUAUCAGCUUUCUUAUAAACUAGCAUUAAGUAUACACAAAAUGACGCAAACAUUUCCUAAAGAAGAGACCUAUGAGAUAAGUAGUCAAAUGAGAAGGGCUGCAUUGUCCAUACCAUUAAAUAUAGCAGAAGGUUAUGGAAAGAAAAGUUCAGCAAAAGAUUUUAAGAGAUUUCUUAAAAUAUCUUUAGGCUCAACAAAUGAAAUGUUAGUGUUGAUAAGUUUUGUAAAAGACUUAGGUUAUAUAACUGAAGAAGAGUAUAAAGAAUACUCAGAACGAUAUAAUAUGCUAGGUGGGAUGAUAUACAACUUAGAGAAGAACUGGGAGUAAAUAGUUCAAACCUCUAACGUCUGCCUUCUAAUCUCUAAAUUGGUAGAGGAGCAUUCCUAUAGCGUGGAAGCUGUACCGAAAGGAGCAGUGGAGUUAUAGGAAGAGAGAAUGCCGGAAUGAGUAGCGAGAAAGAAGUGAGAAUCUUCUUGGCCGAAUAUCCAAGGUUUCCAGAGUAAAGCUGAUCUGCUCUGGGUAAGUCGGGACCUAAGGUGAGGGCGAAAGCCGUAGCCGAUGGACAACAGGUUGAAAUUCCUGUACUGCUAAUAAACAGAACUGUGGGGACGCAGGAGGAUAGACAGACCGGGGAAUGGAAAGACCCGGUUAAGCACAAAGCCAAGCCUGACAGGCAAAUCCGUUAGGCGAUGGUGAAGUGUUAUAAGGACCGAAAUUAAAGUAGGGAAGCUGUUGAAUCCACACUGCCGAGAAAAGCCGCUAUAGUUUUAUUAGUACCCGUACCGUAAACCGACACAGGUGGAUGAGGAGAGAAUCCUAAGGCCGACGGGAGAAGCGUUGUUAAGGAACUCGGCAAAAUGACCCCGUAACUUCGGGAGAAGGGGUGCCUGUAGAAAUACAGGCCGCAGAGAAUAGGCCCAAGCGACUGUUUAGCAAAAACACAGGUCUCUGCUAAACCGAAAGGUGAAGUAUAGGGGCUGACGCCUGCCCGGUGCUGGAAGGUUAAGGGGAGAGGUUAGGAGAAAUCCGAAGCUUUGAACUUAAGCCCCAGUAAACGGCGGCCGUAACUAUAACGGUCCUAAGGUAGCGAAAUUCCUUGUCNNNNNNNNNNNNNNNNNNNNNNNNNNNNNNNNNNNNNNNNNNNNNNNNNNNNNNNNCCGACCCGCACGAAAGGCGUAACGAUUUGGGCACUGUCUCGACAACGCGCCCGGUGAAAUUGUAGUACCGGUGAAGAUGCCGGUUACCCGCGACAGGACGGAAAGACCCCGUGGAGCUUUACUGCAGCUUGAUACUGGAAUUCGGUAUUACAUGUACAGGAUAGGAGGGAGACUAAGAAGCCAGGACGCCAGUCUUGGUGGAGUCGCCGGUGGGAUACCUCUCUUGUGAUACUGGAUUUCUAACCUGAAUCUGUGAACCAGAUUAGGGACAAUGUCAGGCGGGCAGUUUGACUGGGGCGGUCGCCUCCGAAAGAGUAACGGAGGCGCUCAAAGGUAACCUCAGAAUGGUUGGAAACCAUUCGCAGAGUGCAAAGGCAGAAGGUUGCUUAACUGCGACAGCGACGGCUGGAGCAGAUACGAAAGUAGGACUUAGUGAUCCGGUGGUAUGAAAGUGGGAUUGCCAUCGCUCAACGGAUAAAAGCUACCCCGGGGAUAACAGGCUUAUCUCCCCCAAGAGUUCACAUC
rnacentral:rRNA from 1 species